AGUUUCUCUGUUUCCCCUUUCCUGUGUUGGUUCAUUGUGCUUCUUGCCUAUGAAUGUUUCUCUUUGAGUCGCUCUCCCUGUACCUUGCAGCAUGUUACAGUUUACCGUUUCUUAUGUGGAUUUUCUGUUAUGGAUUUUGAUUCAAGUCUCUUUACUAGGAGGAUCGGGGCUCCCUGCUGCUUCAUUAACACACAUAUGAAGCCUUUGUGUCAGCCUGCUGAUCUGUUAUGUCCUCAUUACUAUCACUUCAGCUCCUGUUCCCGACUGUACUUUCCAAGAUGAUGGAUGUCAUCAAAGACUCUCAGAGCUACAGGAAGAAACACAAGAAGACUGAAAUCAUUCCAGACAUGUUGUUUGUUUUGCUAUUAAUUUACCACAAACGUCUUAGUCUAGGUUGCUCUUAUUUCAGUUCUCACUCAACAGCUUAAAAGAAAAGCUAAUUUCAACAAACCUUUUCCCUCUCUGAAGCGAUGCACCUCAUUGUCAGUGAUCCAGCGGUACACAGGAAAGUUGUAGGUGUCCCCCUCGGGCGAUUUCACUUCCACCUUGGCAGGGAACCAGUUGUCUUCAGGGAAAAUUAGGAGACGCUGUUUGUCUAGUUCUAUCAGGACCAACUUCCCAAUGGACUCAGAGCAGGACACAUUAAAACUAGACACCUGCGGCAGAACAGAGAUGAUCUGAAAAUAUCUACAAAAGAUAUUUAAGUUGGUUCUGAUUAAUCAGCUUUUCUACAUUGGUAUUUAAUUGGUUAGUCUUGUGGAGAAAAAAUUUGGAAGAGCAUGUUAUGCACUUUAACAGAGAUCAUUUCAGACUUACUGCUCCAGUGGUGAAGGCUAGAGGCCCUUUCAAAUUCAUGAGCCAACUGCGAUCACUCUCCCCAUCCGUCCCCACCAGCUUAAUGAAGACAUUAUUGAAAGUGGUGGCACCAACAACAUUGGCAGUGGAUAGAAUCACUUCAUAGUUCACCAUUUUCACUCUUUAAUUAGGAGGAAACUGGUGAGAAAAGAACAAGAACAUUUAGGCUCUCACUUCAUUGCCUGUUGCUAAAACUUGAGGAAAAAAAACACUUGACAAAUAAUUAUCACAAUCAAAGGUACACUUUAAAUAUAUUCCACAACUAGUAUUAAAAGUAUUUUCUAAAUUAUUGACUCUAAUUGUAACUGAAAAUUAAAAUACUUCCAUGAAGCACCUGUCUUACCUGUGAAUAAGGCCAAGAAGUCCCUUUGACUAACUGUUCUUUUUGUGACAGCUAUCACCACUGACUCCCUUAUAAAUGCAGUUUUGUGGGAGUGUGCAGUCAGUGGCAACAGUCAGCUUGGAUGACUGAAUGCCAGGCAUGUACAAACAUUUACAACACUUGCAAAACCACAGGGAGACGGUAGAGAUUACAACUUAAGGUUGUGUUGUUGUAAAAGUUGGCUUCACACCAACUCACCCUAAACCAUCACAUUCAGAUAUGAAUUGCAGCUUAAAGAAUACAAAGAAAGAAAAACAAAUUGCACCAACACACUUCUGUGAGCAAGUUUAAUUAUCAAGGAACCUGACAUGAUGUCAACCAAUUUCCAAAACACAGUAGCGCAUGUACAGACAGUUUAGUGACAUGUGCACUACAAACAGGAUAAAUGUAACUAGUUUUUAUAAAAAAUGAGACAGUUAUGCACAAAUCACUGUUAUUUGACUUUCACACUUUGUGGCCACUUUAUUUGGUGCACCUUUAAAAUCUGACAGCACAUUAAAACAGCUCUGCCUUAUGUGCUAACUUUACAUCAUUAAGUCUGACCACAUUGUCAGAAAUGUUUAUAUUCAAGUGUUUUAAUGUGUAAUUUUACGGAAUAUAAUCCUGUUUGUGUGUGAUACUUGAGUAUAUUUAGAGGUAUGUUCUGUUUUGUUUUUCUUCUCCUAAUUUAUAGGAGGGUUGUAAUAUGACAGAACUCUACAGGUAAUUAAGUCAGCUACAAAAACAAGCCUUGAAUAUGGUUACAUGUGUAAGUGAAUGGAUGCUACUUGACACUUUCCAAUAACUGGGCAUAACAGACACCAUCAAAUAGACUUGAAGGCAGGAGAGCUGUUUGGAUUGCAUUAGAUUGUACUUGUAUAGAAAAUAAAGAGUACAUCAGA